AGCAGCCGCGGUAAUUCCAGCUCCAAUAGCGUAUAUUAAAGUUGUUGCAGUUAAAAAGCUCGUAGUUGAAUUUCGGGAUCAAUAUGUUGGUCGUGCCUCGGUACGUACUAGCUUAUUGGUUUCUCCUUUCUGAAGAACCAUGAUGUCAUUUAUUUGGUGUCGUGGGGAAUCAGGACUGUUACUUUGAAAAAAUUAGAGUGUUUAAAGCAGGCUCACGCUUGAAUACAUUAGCAUGGAAUAAUGAAAUAGGACGUUUGAUUCUAUUUUGUUGGUCUCUAGGAUCGACGUAAUGAUUAAUAGGGAUAGUUGGGGGCAUUAGUAUUCAAUUGUCAGAGGUGAAAUUCUUGGAUUUAUUGAAGACUAACUACUGCGAAAGCAUUUGCCAAGGAUGUUUUCAUUAAUCAAGAACGAAAGUUAGGGGAUCGAAGACGAUCAGAUACCGUCGUAGUCUUAACCAUAAACUAUGCCGACUAGGGAUCGGAUGAUGUUAAUUUUUAAUGACUCAUU
rnacentral:rRNA from 1 species